rnacentral:rRNA from 1 species
GACGAACGCUGGCGGCGUGCUUAACACAUGCAAGUCGAACGAAGUGGCGAACGGGUGAGUAACGCGUAAUCAACCUGCCCUUCAGAGGGGGACAACAGUUGGAAACGAGUGCUAAUACCGCAUACUGAAGGAGGGGAUUGCGUCUGAUUAGCUGGUUGGGGGGGUAACGGCCCACCAAGGCGAUGAUCAGUAGUCGGUCUGGGAGGGUGGACGGGCAAAAUGGGAACGAGGCACGGCCCAAGCUCCUACGGGAGGGAGCAGUGGGGAAUCUUCCGGAAUGGACGAAAGUCUGGCGGAGCAACGCCGCGUGAGGGAAAACGGCCUUCGGGUUGGAAAGCUCUGUUAAUCGGGAAGCGGUACCGGAAUAGAAAGCCACGGCUAACUACGUGCCAGCAGCCGCGGUAAUAC